CCCUUAGAUGUUCUGGGCCGCACGCGCGCUACACUGAUGCAUUCAACAAGCCUAGCCUUGACCGAGAGGUCCGGGUAAUCUUUGAAACUGCAACGUGAUGGGGCUAGAUUAUUGCAAUUAUUAAUCUUCAACGAGGAAUGCCUAGUAAGCGUGAUUCAUCAAAUCGCGUUGAUUACGUCCCUGCCCUUUGUACACACCGCCCGUCGCUCCUACCGAUUGAAUGUGUUGGUGAGGAGCUCGGAUUGGCAGCAGUUGGUGGUUCGCCACCGGCUAUUGCUGAGAAGUCCUCCAAACCGCCCCAUUUAGAGGAAGGAGAAGUCGUAACA
rnacentral:rRNA from 1 species